UGGGGACUAUUGGACAAUGGGCGAAAGCCUGAUCCAGCCAUGCCGCGUGUGUGAAGAAGGUCUUCGGAUUGUAAAGCACUUUAAGUUGGGAGGAAGGGCAGUAAGCGAAUACCUUGCUGUUUUGACGUUACCGACAGAAUAAGCACCGGCUAACUCUGUGCCAGCAGCCGCGGUAAUACAGAGGGUGCAAGCGUUAAUCGGAAUUACUGGGCGUAAAGCGCGCGUAGGUGGUUCGUUAAGUUGAAUGUGAAAGCCCCGGGCUCAACCUGGGAACUGCAUCCAAAACUGGCGAGCUAGAGUAGGGCAGAGGGUGGUGGAAUUUCCUGUGUAGCGGUGAAAUGCGUAGAUAUAGGAAGGAACAGCAGUGGCGAAGGCGACCACCUGGGCUCAUACUGACACUGAGGUGCGAAAGCGUGGGGAGCAAACAGG
rnacentral:rRNA from 1 species